GGAAACAAGCUUCCCACGGGGGAACAAGGCCUGGAUGAGGAUGUUGAUGGGGUCUGUGAAAGCCACGCAGCCCCUGGUCUGGAAUGCAGUUCAGGCUCAGCAAACUGUCAGGGUGCUGGCCCCUCUGCAGAUGGAAUCAGCUCCAGGCUGACACCAGCAGAGUCCUGCAUGGGGCUCGUGAGGAUGAAUCUCUACACUCACUGCGUCAAAGGGCUGGUGCUGUCCCUGCUGGCUGAGGAGCCGCUACUGGGAGACAGCGCAGCCAUAGAGGAAGUGUACCACAGCAGCCUGGCUUCGCUGAAUGGGCUGGAAGUCCACCUGAAAGAGACGCUGCCCAGGGAUGAGGCAGCCUCCACGAGCAGCACCUACAACUUCACACAUUAUGACCGCAUUCAGAGCUUGCUGAUGGCAAACCUGCCGCAGGUGGCCACCCCGCAGGAUCGCCGCUUCCUCCAGGCCGUCAGCCUGAUGCAUAGCGAAUUUGCCCAGCUGCCCGCGCUUUAUGAAAUGACUGUCAGUUGUACCUCUUAGAAGCUGCUGUUUUCCAUUCGGAUCUAAACACUGGACCUGCACCUGCGACCAGCUGUAUAUUCCAAACCACUCCUCGGCUUUAUAAAUCUGACACUGCUCAUAAUACAUUAUUCAGAAAAGGCAUCUCUAGUGUGGCUGGCCGGCUACGCUUUCACACAUCAGCUAACACAGGCUAUUUCUAGACUGAGUGCCUCAAACUGGUCUCCUGGGACCUUUUCCUUCGGGAAGAGAUCCACAUGUUCUUCACAGGAGACCAGAAAACCAGCACAACGGCCACAGGUCCUCUGGGCAUGUAGGUCUUCUCUGUCUCCUCAAUAGUACACACUGGCUUGGGUCAUUGUCACGCAGUGCACACCUUUGUGCCAUGACAAAGACACAGGGCCAACUCUUCCACUAUCUCCAAGUCUAGUGUUUGAACAUUUAUGUACAGACAAAUAAAUGAAAAAAAAAAAAAAC
rnacentral:sRNA from 1 species